ensembl:lncRNA
GAGGGGAAUCGUGGGUUUAUCUGUCUGGAAUAACCUCAAGACAUGGAUAUUUCAUGUAUAUCUGAAGACCACCUUCCCAGAGAAUGAGAGCGCUCUCUAGUGGUCACAACUAACUAAAGAACUACACUACAGCACUUUUGACAAGGGCUUGACUGGACUGAUUACGCGGUCACCACACCCCGAACCCUUUCCUUCACAUGAUGCCUCGGGCUACAACGCCACACCCCACGAAAGUGCUCCCCCUCCUGAGUGGGACGGUCUCUGUGCAGGUGGGACAGCGGAACCACAGGACCCAAAUUAUAAUUAUGCUCUUUGAGCACAUCCAGACCUUACCGUAGUAAAAGCCUUUCUCACAGGGGCCUGCGAGAUCCGGAUCUGUCCUGCAAUGAAGAACUGUAUGUGUGUUGGAACAUACUGACUCAAUGAAUCACCAGUCAGCUUUAUUUACAAGAAACUGUCAUGCUUUUGAAAAUGAAACAAUAACUUUAGAUACCAGCUUAUUAUAUCCUUUCAUGCUGCGUAACAAUUUUCCAGCUUUCCAUAGUUGAACGAACUUGUGUUCAUUCUUUAAACAACGUAAACAUUCAUCUAAAGCCACAGAGCACAUUUUAUUAUCACAUGUGACAAUGUUGCAUGUAAAUACAUUUGUGUCACCCUGGAGCAUAAAAGCAGUCUUUAGUCGCAGGGGUAUAUUUGCAGCAAUAGCCAAAAACCAAUACAUUUCAAAAUUAUCAAAAUUAUCCAUUUUUCUUUUAAGCCAAAAAUCAUUAGGAAAUUAAGUCAAGAUCAUGUUCCAUGAAGAUAUUUUGUAAAUUUCCCACCAUAAAUAUAUCAAAACCUAAUUUUUGAUUAGUAAUAUUCAUUGCUAAGAACUUCAUUUGGACAACUUUAAAGGCGACUUUGUCACAUGUGAUAAUAAAAAGUGCUCUGUGACUUUAUAUGAAUGUUCACAUUGUUUAAAGAAUAAUAAAAAUGUAAUAUUUAGUGGUUUUCAUGCAACAAAAAUGAGAUUACAUGGAGAAUAAACUGAAACUUUAUCUUAUGCAAGUUUGAGUAAUUUUACAGCUGUUUUCCAACAGUUUCAACAAUUAUG